rnacentral:rRNA from 1 species
AUUGAACGCUGGCGGCAGGCUUAACACAUGCAAGUCGAGCGAGCGGCGGACGGGUGAGUAAUGUCUGGGAAACUGCCCGAUGGAGGGGGAUAACUACUGGAAACGGUAGCUAAUACCGCAUACUAUCAGAUGUGCCCAUAUGGGAUUAGCUAGUAGGUGGGGUAAAGGCUCACCUAGGCGACGAUCCCUAGCUGGUCUGAGAGGAUGACCAGCCACACUGGGACUGAGACACGGCCCAGACUCCUACGGGAGGCAGCAGUGGGGAAUAUUGCACAAUGGGCGCAAGCCUGAUGCAGCCAUGCCGCGUGUAUGAAGAAGGCCUUCGGGUUGUAAAGUACUUUCAGCGGGGAGGCGUUACCCGCAGAAGAAGCACCGGCUAACUCCGUGCCAGCAGCCGCGGUAAUAC